rnacentral:lncRNA from 1 species
UUACAAGUACUACGUGUAAAAACUAUAUAACAAUAUAAUUAGAGCAUUAAAUUUUAAAUCAUAAAGUGAAAAUAUGAUUAAAAUUGUCAUGUUUGUUCAUGUUAUCACUUUCAUUCUUUAUCUAUUUCUUGUCAAUUUGAACGUUAACGGUAAGUUUUUUUUUUCUCAAAAUUUCUUUCUUACAUAAUGUUUUAUCUUAUGUUAGCAAUAUUUAGUUUUAUUCUCUUUUUUCAUUAUAGCUGGGCGUCGUAAAUGUUUUAGUGAUGAUGAUUGUCCAACAAAAGAUUGCGGCACUCCUUUGUUACCUGUGUGUUUUUUAAGAAUAUGUAUUUGUAUUUGAGUGACUUCACAUAUAUGAUAUGAUGAUCAAAUCCUAUAACAUUAAAUGAGUUCUUCUUAGUUAUGGUAUUGACAUCUUAUAGUUUGAUUCUCAUUUAGUUAUUUUUUCAAAUCUCAAGGGCUAUUGUUAUGGUUUUAAAAUAGAAUAAAAAAUAUUAUAUAGACUAUCUUCUUCUUGUUAUAAGAAAUUAGAAAACCUUAAAUUAUUCUAGAAUAUAUUAAACAUGUUUUAUUAUUAUUUUGAAUUUUUUUUCAAAAAUAUAAAAUUAAUUAGUAAUGUGAAUUAUCUAUCAAAAUGUUAAUUUAUAAUAAUAAUGUUUUAUUUACCAUAUCAAUUUAGAAUAAUAACAUAAAAAAAUACAUUCAUGUGAUAAUAGUAAUUCUAUUAGUUUAAAUACUCCAUUUGGUCAGGUAAAUAUACUUCAUUUCGAAAAAUAUAAGGGAUAUCAUCCUAUUUUCUUAUCUCUUGAUUUCCUUAGUUUUAUAUAUUAUAACAUUAUAUAUAGUAUGUAGUAUUAUAUAAUUAGACUACUAAUUUAUAUCAUCCUUUCAGUUCACAAAAUAUCAUAAAAUAAAUAUUUAAGUACUCGAUCUUUUCAUUAUGUUGUUAGUAUGAUUGUUUCCAUCGGAUGUGCUUACUACUGCUAGAUUAUAUAUCCUUAUCACUUUUAUUAUUAUUAUUAUUAUUAUUAUUAUUAUUAUUAUUAUUAUUAUUAUUAUUAUUAUUAUUAUUAUUUGUCUUANGGAUGUGCUUACUACUGCUAGAUUAUAUAUCCUUAUCACUUUUAUUAUUAUUAUUAUUAUUAUUAUUAUUAUUAUUAUUAUUAUUAUUAUUAUUAUUAUUAUUAUUAUUUGUCUUAGGUAGGAUGUGAUUGUAUGAGAAUUAUUUGCAACCACGAUCCAGAUCCAAUAUCUAUUGUAGAAAAUGGGAAAGCGCACUACCUAUAACCAUAGUAAAAUGUAUAAAGGUUCUAAUAUCUAUUGUCAUACCCUAAUUUUUCCUUUUCCUUUGAUCAAUAAAUCAAUACAUUUAUCAUGACAUUUGCAUCAUCUACAUAUCAUAGUAUAUUUUUCUUUCCGCAUAAUGCUUAAAAAGUCGACUAGAAUAAAAUAUUCGAUUUUACCGAAAUAUCAGUUGAAUCAAGUUUCAAAUGUGCGUAAACUUGAUGGACAAAUAAUUUUGAGAUCGAACCUGCCACUAUUAGUUAUAUCGAUCUCACUAGUGCAAAGUGACAAAUAUAAUUUUAACUUUUACUUCCAUUAUACAGAAAACAAAAACAUGUGUAAAUAAGAAACAAAGAUUAAUAAAUAAAAUACCAUUUUAAGUAUUAGCACAUGACAAUAGACAUCUUAUUUUUAAUAAAAGGGUGUAAAUUAAAAUUAUUAUUAUAAUCAAAUUUCUAUUACACCCGUUAAAGAUAAAACGAAUGUAAGUUUAGAUUGAUUAAAAAAAUUAUUUAUUUUUAUAGUUUUAAAUAUUAAUCUGAACAAAUUAACAAACCACAAUAUUUUUUAUUAAGGGUUAAUUGAGUAAGUAAGUAAAUUAAUGCGUUUAAAUUUAUUAAGUUAAUAUUAUGUAAAUAAAAUAAUAAAAAACCCAUUUUUCUGAAACCCGAAAAGCUUCAUCGCCCAUCCUUCCUCUCCCAAUUUCCAUCGACCAAAACACGAUCAUGAAUAAAUAAAGAGUAUCUCUUACGCAUCUUAUACUUGUAAUGAGUGUAAAUGUAAAACUAACAGUCUUUUAAACAUGUGGCAUGAGAAAAACAAUAGCAAUUGUGACAGCCUUUUAAAGACCAACAGUGGCAACAAUAACUGAAAGAAAGCAACCUAUUUUUCUUGCCUACACAAAAUAUUUAGUUUUGAAAUUAAUAAAACAACGUAAGAAAAUACAAGAUGAAUGAGGGUGUUGAUAUAUAGGACAUACAUAUGAAAAAAUAAACAAAAGGGAUUUUAAAAAAUAUUAGAGAUAAGGAUAGGAAUAAUAUUAUAGGAUACUAUGUAAAAUGAAUUCAUAGUAGAACAAGUGAAAGUGACCAUGAUAUUGGCCCAUUUGUUGUGAAUAUGGAAGUAGCAGAGGAACACAGCCAUCAUUUGAGGACUAAAUAAGAAUUAGGAAUCAAGAGGAUUGAAGAGUAGGAGACAAUUCAGUCAUGUUUGUAAUGAGCUAAGUGUAAGAUCAUGUUUGUGAAUAAUUACUGCUUUGCUAUAACUUUCAAUUUCAAUAUUAUUUAACUUUUGUUUCUAGCUUUUCAUUGAGUUUUUCCAAUCUUUAUCCAAUUUUGGCAACCUUGAGUUAAUUCUCUGUUGUUAGUAUCUGAUUUGUUAAAUAUUGUUUUUGGUUUUGAUCAUAUUCAAACUUGAUGUUAGUGGCAUCAUCAUGUGUUUUUGAAGGUUGCUUUUAUGCUACAAAGGCUUGGUUUUAGAUGGAAGGCUAGGAGUUUUAGUCGUCCAUUGUGUUGAAAGUGCUGUAGUGCCCACAGUGUUGCAGUAGAUGCAUCUUCUUUGUUGAAAUUUAUCAAAAGGUUAGCCUUGGGUAAUUCUGACGGCUUGCCUGUGGUUCCACAUAGGAGGCUAAGUUUUAUCAGAUCAGUCGAAAUUAUUCAAUCAUACAUAAAAAAUAAGUUGGAUGAUGCGUCAAAAAAAUGUUAUUUACGACCAUUGUUAAAUUGGUAAGUGGAUGUUUCCUUUAAGAUUUAAUAAUUUUUAUAUAUGUUAUUUUGUAAUAUUUAAAUUGUAGUUAUUCUAACAUUUUUGUUUUGAAACUACAGUAAUCAUUGACAGAUAUUUGUUAUUUAUCCCGAAGAUAAUGAUAUCUUUUGGUUUAGUUCAUUAAACAAAUCUCUCAAGAAAAAUAUUUGUAAACUUGUAGAUAUUCACAGACACCUCAUAUGAAAAAGAGACAAUUGAUAACCUUUGACAACUUUGGGCUCACUGUUUUUUAGAAAUAAUUGAAGAGCAAAAGGUUGAAGAGCAAAUGCAAAUGGCCGAAGAUCAUGAGGACCAAAGCGAAGGAGAAAUAUAUAUAUAUAUAUAUAAUGAUGGUGAUGAUGAUGAUGAUACGAUGAUUUUUGAUGUUUGUUUUGGUUGUGUUAUUAAUUUACCAAAUAUUUAGCAAUAUACAAAAAUAUUUGAUUAAAUUAAAUAUAAUAUAAUUAUGAAACUAAAAUAAAUAUAUUUUAUUUAAAGAAAAUUGGGUGUAAACUUGUCAACUAUAGUAAACAUUGCUCAUUUUACACCAAUUUUUUUAUCAAAAGGGGUGUAAAUUUGAUUGAUUCAAAUGCAAUUAUUUAAAAAUUCACACCUGUUUUCUAUAAAACAGGGUAUAAUAUGUCAUAUAUACACCCAUUUUUUAAAAAGGUGUAACAUACCAUCUAUAAAUUUACAUAUGUAAUACACCCGUUUUUUAAAAAACAGGGUGUAAUAUGAAAUAUAUUUACCCCCAUUUUCAACAAAAGAGGGUGUAAUAUAACAUGUAUUUACAUCCGUUUUAAAAUCGGUGUAAAUUCGUCAAAAAUUUCUCAUCUGUUGAAUUAACACCCUCUAAUAAUGGGUGUUAAAUGUAAAAAAAAGGGUGUAGAUUACUCUUUCUACACUAGUGUCUACGAUUCACAUACUUCAAUCUGAUGUGCUCGUUUUUUUUUUCGGUCCCGUUUAUGCUCACAUUUCGAUCUUUAUCUGUCAGUUUUCCCUAACUUUAUUCCGAUUAGAUCAUUUUAAUGCAUGCAUUUUGUUUUUUCGCGCAUUUUUGCGCCUGAUGUUUAUUCAUUUUUAUUCCUUUUAUAUUUAUUUUUUAAAAAAAUGUUCAGAAAAGAUAAAUAGAAUUAACUAUGUUUUUAUAUUGAUUUUAUUUUGUUUAUUUAAAAAAAAUUGAAUUUUAUUUUAUUUCAUUGUUUAAACUAAUUUCUUAUCCCAUAAGCUAGCUAGAGGGUGUUUUUGGAUUUUUGUUACAUUUGCAACCCUAUAUUUCCAUUUCACUGAAAACAAAACGACGCCCACACAAAGAGAGAGGCCAUCACA